CCUACGGGUGGCUGCAGUGGGAAUAUUGCACAAUGGGCGCAAGCCUGAUGCAGCCAUGCCGCGUGUGUGAAGAAGGCCUUCGGGUUGUAAAGCACUUUCAGCGGGGAGGAAGGCGUUAAGGUUAAUAACCUUGGCGAUUGACGUUACCCGCAGAAGAAGCACCGGCUAACUCCGUGCCAGCAGCCGCGGUAAUACGGAGGGUGCAAGCGUUAAUCGGAAUUACUGGGCGUAAAGCGCACGCAGGCGGUCUGUCAAGUCGGAUGUGAAAUCCCCGGGCUCAACCUGGGAACUGCAUUCGAAACUGGCAGGCUAGAGUCUUGUAGAGGGGGGUAGAAUUCCAGGUGUAGCGGGGAAAUGCGUAGAGAUCUGGAGGAAUACCGGUGGCGAAGGCGGCCCCCUGGACAAAGACUGACGCUCAGGUGCGAAAGCGUGGGGAGCAAACAGGAUUAGAUACCCGAGUAGUC
rnacentral:rRNA from 1 species